GAUGAACGCUAGCGACAGGCUUAACACAUGCAAGUCGAGGGGUAGAAGGCUUCGGCCUUUGAGACCGGCGCACGGGUGCGAAACGCGUAUACAAUCUACCUAUUACAGGGGGAUAGCCCAGAGAAAUUUGGAUUAAUACCCCAUAGUAUUAUAGAGUGGCAUCAUUUUAUAAUUAAAGUUGAGGCGGUAAUAGAUGAGUAUGCGUCCUAUUAGCUAGUUGGUGAGGUAAUGGCUCACCAAGGCUACGAUCAGUAGGGGAUCUGAGAGGACUACCCCCCACAACUGG
rnacentral:rRNA from 1 species